GCGUCACAGUUUUGCAGCUGGGUGCGGUGAUGGAUUGGCUGACCGCCACACUGAUCCCUGGUUCCUCAGGAUAGAGGACAGGACGUCAGAUGGGCGAAUCAAGAGCUCCAAACGCAAAGACUGUGCCACAGAAAGACUGGAAAAAGCUUCCAAAAGAAGCAAGGACAGCAAAAGUCCAACCCCAGGCCUCAGCCAUCUUGUCUUGGAGAAGUCUGCUUUCAGAAAGAAGAGCAGCAAAGGA